CAGAAAAUAGUUUAUUAAAAAUAUUAAUUUUGGAGAUUAAUGUAAAGUAUUAGUUACUUUUUUCUGA
rnacentral:tRNA from 1 species